GUUUGCAUCUUCUAGUUCAGAUUCCCUUUUAGAUUUCAUUUUAUUUGUGGGUUACUUUUUAUUUCAAGGUUCAGAUCUCCCUUCUAGUUUUGUUGAAAAUAUUUCUACUGGUACUAAGUGACUGCCUUUUAGUACUGCCUUGACUAGUGACAUUGCAGAGGAUUAGCACUUCAUUUGGUUGAUUGGAUUCUCUGCAAUUCAUUCUGGGAGAUGGAAAAUGAGGGUUGGAUUAUAAUAAUCUGAGAUACAGCAGCUCCUUUGAUAGAGUUAGCUAGAGGUCUAGUGGCAACCCAAACACAAGUUGUAGAACUAUUCAAGUAAGAUGGCAAGUCGUCGACUAAAGCGUGGUAGAGGGCAAUGGAGUACUCCAUCACCUGCACAAUUA